AUUGAACGCUGGCGGAAUGCUUUACACAUGCAAGUCGAACGGUAGAGGGGGCAACCCCUCGAGAGUGGCGAACGGGUGAGUAAUAUAUCGGAACGUGCCCAGUCGUGGGGAUAACGUAGCGAAAGUUACGCUAAUACCGCAUACGAUCUAAGGAUGAAAGCGGGGGAUCGCAAGACCUCGCGCGAUUGGAGCGGCCGAUAUCAGAUUAGGUAGUUGGUGGGGUAAAGGCUCACCAAGCCAACGAUCUGUAGCUGGUCUGAGAGGACGACCAGCCACACUGGAACUGAGACACGGUCCAGACUCCUACGGGAGGCAGCAGUGGGGAAUUUUGGACAAUGGACGAAAGUCUGAUCCAGCCAUUCCGCGUGCAGGAUGAAGGCCCUCGGGUUGUAAACUGCUUUUGUACGGAACGAAAAGGUUUCUACUUAAUUACGAGGAGCUCAUGACGGUACCGUAAGAAUAAG
rnacentral:rRNA from 1 species